rnacentral:rRNA from 1 species
UACGUAGGGGGGCAAGCGUUGUCCGGAAUCAUUGGGCGUAAAGAGCGUGUAGGCGGCCUGGUAAGUCCGCUGUGAAAGUCCAGGGCUCAACCCUGGAAUGCCGGUGGAAACUGUCAGGCUCGAGUCCGGAAGAGGCGAGUGGAAUUCCUGGUGUAGCGGUGAAAUGCGCAGAUAUCAGGAGGAACACCAAUGGCGAAGGCAGCUCGCUGGGACGGUACUGACGCUGAGAACGCGAAAGCGUGGGGAGCGAACAGG